GAUUUUUUAGUUUAUUGGUAAAAUAUUUAGUUGUGGUCUAAAAGAUUUAAAAAAUUU
rnacentral:tRNA from 1 species